rnacentral:rRNA from 1 species
AAUACCCGCUGGACUUAAGCAUAUCAUUUAGCGGAGGA